rnacentral:rRNA from 1 species
UACGUAGGGUGCAAGCGUUGUCCGGAAUUAUUGGGCGUAAAGAGCUCGUAGGCGGUUUGUCGCGUCGGCUGUGAAAACCUGGGGCUCAACCCCGGGCCUGCAGCCGAUACGGGCAAACUAGAAUUCGGUAGGGGAGACUGGAAUUCCUGGUGUAGCGGUGAAAUGCGCAGAUAUCAGGAGGAACACCGGUGGCGAAGGCGGCCUUCUGGACAGUGACUGACGCUGAGACGCGAAAGCGUGGGGAGCAAACAGG